rnacentral:rRNA from 1 species
AUUGAACGCUGGCGGCAUGCCUUACACAUGCAAGUCGAACGGCAGCACGGGAGCAAUCCUGGUGGCGAGUGGCGAACGGGUGAGUAAAGUAUCGGAACGUGCCCAGUCGUGGGGGAUAACGUAGCGAAAGUUACGCUAAUACCGCAUACGAUCUAUGGAUGAAAGCGGGGGAUCGCAAGACCUCGCGCGAUUGGAGCGGCCGAUAUCAGAUUAGGUAGUUGGUGGGGUAAAGGCUCACCAAGCCGACGAUCUGUAGCUGGUCUGAGAGGACGACCAGCCAGACUGGGACUGAGACACGGCCCAGACUCCGACGGGAGGCAGCAGUGGGGAAUUUUGGACAAUGGGCGAAAGCCUGAUCCAGCCAUGCCGCGUGCAGGAUGAAGGCCUUCGGGUUGUAAACUGCUUUUGUACGGAACGAAAAGGUUUGGCCUAAUAAGCUGAGCUCAUGACGGUACCGUAAGAAUAAGCACCGGCUAACUACGUGCCAGCCGCCGCAGUAAUAC